AUUGAACGCUGGCGGCAGGCCUAACACAUGCAAGUCGAGCGGCAGCGGGAAAGUAGCUUGCUACUUUUGCCGGCGAGCGGCGGACGGGUGAGUAAUGCCUGGGAAAUUGCCCAGUCGAGGGGGAUAGCAGUUGGAAACGACUGCUAAUACCGCAUACGCCCUACGGGGGAAAGCAGGGGACCUUCGGGCCUUGCGCGAUUGGAUAUGCCCAGGUGGGAUUAGCUAGUUGGUGAGGUAAUGGCUCACCAAGGCGACGAUCCCUAGCUGGUCUGAGAGGAUGAUCAGCCACACUGGAACUGAGACACGGUCCAGACUCCUACGGGAGGCAGCAGUGGGGAAUAUUGCACAAUGGGGGAAACCCUGAUGCAGCCAUGCCGCGUGUGCGAAGAAGGCCUUCGGGUUGUAAAGCACUUUCAGCGAGGAGGAAAGGUUGAUGCCUAAUACGUAUCAACUGUGACGUUACUCGCAGAAGAAGCACCGGCUAACUCCGUGCCAGCCGCCGCGGUAAGAC
rnacentral:rRNA from 1 species